rnacentral:sRNA from 1 species
UAUUCUGCCCUACGGGGAAGGAUGAGAAGCUUCGACUAAGGUUCGACUCGAGCGUAGCGAGAGAACGUUGCCGAAGGCAACGGACCGAAGGGCGAGGCGCUUUAGCGCCGAGUUAUCCUUCCCCCACCACCG